rnacentral:rRNA from 1 species
AGGGCACCACCAGGAGUGGAGCCUGCGGCUUAAUUUGACUCAACACGGGAAAACUCACCCGGCCCGGACACUGGAAGGAUUGACAGAUUGAGAGCUCUUUCUUGAUUCAGUGGGUGGUGGUGCAUGGCCGUUCUUAGUUGGUGGAGUGAUUUGUCUGGUUAAUUCCGAUAACGAACGAGACUCUAGCCUACUAAAUAGAUCGUCGGCUUACAAACGCCGGCGAGACUUCCUAGAGGGACAGGCGGUGAUUCAACCGCACGAAACAGAGCAAUAACAGGUCUGUGAUGCCCUUAGAUGUCCGGGGCCGCACGCGCGCUACACUGAAGUGAUCAGCGUGCUUUUUCAACCUACUCUGUCAAGAGUGGGGAACCCAAUGAACCUUCUUCGUGAUUGGGAUAGGGGAUUGUAAUUAUUCCCCUUGAACGAGGAAUUCCCAGUAAGCGCGAGUCAUAAGCUCGCGUUGAUUACGUCCCUGCCCUUUGUACACACCGCCCGUCGCUACUACCGAUUGAAUGUUUU